CGAUAGUUUUAGAAGUUCUCUAACUCCUCUCAUGGUCGAGGCUUUGGUUUGCACACAAGAUUGGCUUCGGAAAUCUAAUGAUGCCAUCAAUCUUAAAGAUUAUGUUGAUGAACUUCAAACAAUGGAAGAUGAUUUAUUCAAAAUACCCGAAGAUCAAGAAGAUGUUUCAAGAUUAUCAACUGUGAUUGAAGCACAAGAAGAAAGUUAAACUAUUCUAUAAUGGUUUUUGAACUGAUGUGUUAUUGUUAUUAGUUUGGUUUGGUUUGUUAUUGUUGUUGG